rnacentral:rRNA from 1 species
GACGAACGCUGGCGGCGUGCUUAACACAUGCAAGUCGUACGGGCCUUGUCCCCUUUUUUUUUUGGGGGUGGGGUUAGUGGCGAACGGGUGAGUAACACGUGAGUAACCUGCCCCUCACUUCUGGAUAACCGCUUGAAAGGGUGGCUAAUACGGGGUGUUCUGGCCUGCUCGCAUGGGUGGGUUUGGAAAGAUUCGACCGGUUUUGGUUGUUUUGGUGGGGGAUGGGCUCGCGGCCUAUCAGCUGGUUGGUGGGGGGAUGGCCUGCCAAGGCUUUGACGGGUAGCCGGCCUGAGAGGGUGGGCGGUCACACUGGGACUGAGACACGGCCCAGACUCCUACGGGAGGCAGCAGUGGGGAAUAUUGCACAAUGGGCGCAAGCCUGAUGCAGCGACGCCGCGUGAGGGAUGGAGGCCUUCGGGUUGUGAACCUCUUUCGCCAGUGAAGAAGGUCCUGCUCUUUGUGGUGGGGUUGACGGUAGCUGGGUUAAUGAAGCGCCGGCUAACUACGUG